CAGGCCUAACACAUGCAAGUCGAGGGGUAACAGGAGAGCUUGCUCUUGCUGACGACCGGCGCACGGGUGCGUAACGCGUAUACAAUCUACCUUUUGCUGAGGGAUAGCCCAGAGAAAUUUGGAUUAAGACCUCAUAGUAUUAUGACAUGGCAUCAUGUAAUAAUUAAAGGUUACGGCAAAAGAUGAGUAUGCGUCCUAUUAGCUAGAUGGUGUGGUAACGGCACACCAUGGCUACGAUAGGUAGGGGCCCUGAGAGGGGGAUCCCCCACACUGGUACUGAGACACGGACCAGACUCCUACGGGAGGCAGCAGUGAGGAAUAUUGGACAAUGGAGGGAACUCUGAUCCAGCCAUGCCGCGUGCAGGAUGACUGCCCUAUGGGUUGUAAACUGCUUUUAUACAGGAAGAAUAAGGUCUACGUGUAGAUUGAUGACGGUACUGUAAGAAUAAGGAUCGGCUAACUCCGUGCCAGCAGCCGCGGUAAUACGGAGGAUCCAAGCGUUAUCCGGAAUCAUUGGGUUUAAAGGGUCCGUAGGCGGGCUAAUAAGUCAGAGGUGAAAGUUUGCAGCUCAACUGUAAAAUUGCCUUUGAUACUGUUAGUCUUGAGUUAUUGUGAAGUGGUUAGAAUAUGUAGUGUAGCGGUGAAAUGCAUAGAUAUUACAUAGAAUA
rnacentral:rRNA from 1 species